AUGCAGAUGACUGUGUUGAUGAUGCGC
rnacentral:sRNA from 1 species